UGCUCACAUGACUGUAAGUCGCUUUGGAUACAUGUGUCUGCUAAAUGACAUAAA
rfam:Salmo salar isolate Sally breed double haploid chromosome ssa03, whole genome shotgun sequence.